AACGAACGCUGGCGGCAGGCCUAACACAUGCAAGUCGAGCGCCCCAGCAAUGGGGAGCGGCAGACGGGUGAGUAACGCGUGGGUAUCUACCUAGUGGUGCGGAAUAGCCCAGGGAAACUUGGAGUAAUACCGCAUAAGCCCGAAAGGGGAAAGAUUUAUCGCCAUUAGAUGAGCCCGCGUUGGAUUAGCUAGUUGGUGGGGUAACGGCCCACCAAGGCGACGAUCCAUAGCUGGUCUGAGAGGAUGAUCAGCCACACUGGGACUGAGACACGGCCCAGACUCCUACGGGAGGCAGCAGUGGGGAAUAUUGGACAAUGGGCGCAAGCCUGAUCCAGCCAUGCCGCGUGAGUGACGAAGGUCUUCGGAUUGUAAAGCUCUUUUGGCGGGG
rnacentral:rRNA from 1 species